UAUAAUAAUAAUUUUCCGAUUAACUAAGUUGCGCCUCUGUUGGUGGUGCAUGUUAUCUACUGGCUAAGUUAGUGUAUACCACUAUCUUGAUUUUAAGCAACUAAAAAAACAGGUUUUCAAAAAAAUUGAGAAAUUUAAAAGAGCUUAUAUGAACUUUUUAAUAAACUUUGUUAGGACAUAACCGAAUAUUACUAUCGUUUCUGUACAUUGUAUACAACAAAACAGUACAAAUUUAUAUAAGGUUUAGAUUAAUCGGUUCAAUUUUUGAAGCGUUCCCCAGGGUCCAGUUUUAAAGGGUCCGUACGCAACAUUAUUGGGUGAUGCAUCUACUGGCACAUUUUUGUCCUAUUGUUCCUGAGUCAUUUCGCGUGAAAUUUUCACUCAUUUUUAUGCUCUCUCAUACUCGCUUCCUAGCGACCUUUUGCAACACGCUUUGUAUGAAAGGACAUUAACGUCAACAUUAGAGACUACGCGAAGGCAUGUCUCUCGUAUCAACAAUCCAAAGUCGGUCGCCAUACAUUUAGCAGCAAUCAAACCGCAUAUGUUUAUACACAAUAAAACGUUCAUAUCAAUCAGAAUUAUCAAACACACAAUUGUAUUUAAUUUAUAUUACAGUUGUUGCCUUGGAAUAACGUUUUUAUAUAUAUCCGCAACAAUUUGGUGUUUCGUGGCGGCGGAUUUACAAAGUGCGGAUCUAGAUUUAGUUUCUUUAUUUCAUAAAAUAUAAUGUUUAUAUUAACCAGAAUUGUUAAAUAAUUGUGCGUUGAUUUAUAUUUCAGUUGUUGCCUUAGAUCAACGUUUUAUAUAUAUCCGCAACAAUUUAUUGUUCCGUGGCUGCGGAUUUAAAUGCUGCUGCGGAUCUAGAUUUAGUUUCUUUAUUUCAUAAAAUAAAAUGUUCAUAUCAACCAGAAUUGUUAAAUAAAUAAUUGUUCAUUGAUUUAUAUAACAUCCAUUUUACCUCAGGGUACUAUACAAAAUAUACUAGGUGUUGUAUCCCAUGUUACCCCCAAAAAAUAUAUAACAGACAUCAUCUUCUAACCGAUUCCAUUCCUAUUCCAAAGAAAAACAUAUCACAGAUAUUAUGUUCUAACGGUAACCAUCUUAAUACGUGUUACCCGAAGGGAAUAUAUAAAAGAAAUUAUUAUGUGCUAACGGUAUCCUUCUUAACCCUAAGGUUCAUAUAACAAAUAUAUUGUGCUAACAGUUCUAACGGUAAACAUCUUAUCCCACCGUACUAUUAUAACAAACGUUGUGUGCAGUAAAAAUCGUAUUCAAAGUAUUACAUGUGCUAGUGGUAUCUUCCAUCUUCCCUCACAGCACUGUACAACGGAGAUUAUGAGCUAACGGUAACUUAUCGUACCUCACAGAACUGUGUAACAGAUAAUGUGUAACGAUCACCAUCUUACCCAAAGGUACUAUAUAAAAAAUAUUGUUUACUAACGGUAUACCAAUCUUACUCCACAGAACUAUAUUAUAUAUGCUAACAGUGUGUUCAUCUUACUCUACAGAACUAUAUAUGCCAACAGUGUGUUCAUCUUACUCUACAGAACUAUAUAUGCUAACAGUGUUCAUCUUACUCUACAGAACUAUAUAACGCUUAUAUUAUGCACCCCACAGUACUUUUUUAUAAUAGACAUGGUGUGCCAACGGUAUCCCAUCUUAUCCCACUGAACCAUUACGUGCGCACACCAAUUUCAUUUUUAUGCCUAAAAACAACAUAACAUAUAUUAUGUGCCAACAGUAACAGUGUUACCACACUGAAAAUAAUAAAUUUAUUAAGUGCGAUAUUCCAUGUUACCCGAGAGAAAUAUAUAACAGUUAUAUUGUGUACUUUAUUCAUAUUUUCCCCUAGUACUGUAUAGCAGAUAUUAUAUGGAAACGGCAUCCCAUCUUACCCCACAGAAUUAUAUAAUAGAUAUUACGAGCGGUAAUCAAUCUUACCCCGCAGUACUGAUAUAACAUAUAUUGUGUGCGGUAAAAACUUUACCCAACAGUAUUACAUAACAGAGAUCAUGUGGUAAAGGUAUUAUCCCCAUCUUACUUCACAGCACUAUUUGACAUGUUACGUGCUAACACAGUUACGCCAUAGUUACGCAAGACGACUAUUUAAUAUUCGGUCUUGAUGCAUUAAGUUAAUUUGGAAAACUAUAAUAUAUAUCUGUGCUCGAAACUCACUCAAUCGCUACACCUCCUUUGGUACAUUCGUUUCUCUUGUUAAUAAAAAAAAAACGCAGAUCUCUUCAAGAAACUUCGGAAUAAUAUUACUGGUUGUCCUAAGUAUCGUUUUUAACCGUCUUCACCUGAAGGAUGUCACACGAAUCAACGAACCAACCUACGGAGAUAAGGCCAAAAAGACGACUCGUGUGUUCGGUUAUGACUGCAAUGGAUUAUAUCUGUGGUGUGUCAGCAAGCAUCGUAUGCCUACAGGAUUCUUUACAUGUUACAUAGGGCCUGAUUUUAAACCAAUCCUACCUAAUCAGGUUGGAAAAGAAGCGUGUACGUGGUUAGACUGGGUGGCUGAAUCUGUACAAAUCGCCCACAAAAACAAUGGCGGUGAGCAACUUAUUGGAAGCAUGCGUAAUCACGUAGAUGGUUACUGCUCGUCUACAAACACCAUUUUUGAAUACCUGGGGUGUGUGUGGCAGAUACAAACAAGAACGAAGUUGGAAAUCUGGUGACAAAACAUCCAGGAAUGAAAAAGCCUGUUCUUCAGCUUAACAAAAAAACACAUAAGCGACUGAAGCGGUUAAAGGAAGAAGGCUAUACGGUUCAUAUAAAUGGGGUUGUGAGUGGCAACAAGAACGAAAGGAUCCCGAGAUUCGUAAAUUCAUUCGCAACACCCGACCUCCGUGGAAACACCCCGAAACCGAACAGUCUAUCAUCGACAGAAUCGCUUCGGGUGCACUUAACGCUUUCGCUUAAGUGGAUAUACAUCGAAGAGAAAUUCGGAGAUUUUCCACCCAUCUUCGAGAAACACAUGAUUUCGAGGGAUGAUAUUGGACAGCACAUAAGAUCAUGACUUCGCCGAGACGAUGUUUGAUUAUUAGUAGUUUCAAAGGGGAGAAGCAGAUCUUUCUGACACGUUAGUGAAAAUUCGCCGUAGACUGAAAACGAACUCUCGGUCGCCACCUGUCGAAUUUUUUGUUGCAAGUUAUUAUUUACUAAGUCUCACUCCACAGCUAUUAAGCGCAAAAAAAUGCUUCAAAGAGUUUGGGGAAUUUGUAUGCCAUGCAAUGCGUGAAGGUGAUAACGACCCUACGCAAGCCAUCCUAGCGGAUUGUGCGAAACUAAUCGGAAAUUCCGCCUACGGAAAAUCGUUAACAAACAAGCUGAAAUUCGAAGAUGUCGUCUUCAAACGAGAGCCACAUGUCGACGAUCUGGUAAAGCGAAAACCCUUUAUUCACUGCGAUGAAAUCAACAAAGAUCUCUUUGAAAUCCACAUGGGAAAAGUGACAAUUUGUCAAAACUACCCGUUGCAGAUUGCAGCGGCCACAUAUGAUUAUGCAAAAUUAGGCAUAUUAAUUUUUGUUCUUCUUUAUUGAUAAGUCGGAUAUUGCACUCGUGCAAUGCGACACCGAUUCUAUGUAUUUCGGUUUAUUCGCAAAUUCACUUGAUGACGUCAUUAAGCCUGAAUUGAGAAGGCAAUUCUUUACCGAAAACCCUACUUGGUUUCUCUUGCCUUGGCGUGUGAUGCUCACAGUGUCGAGUUUGUUGAAACCAGAACAGCCUUUAAGACCUGGGUCCCGUAUAAGUGUUGUAAACAACGCACUAUUUAUGACAAACGUAGGUUUGUUUAAACUUGAGUACAGUGGUGACGGUACCGCUGCCACUAAAUCCAAAACGUACUACUGUACCAGGGCCGUUGACAAAAUCAGUAGCAACGGCUUGUCCAAAAGACACAAUAAUCUUAAAUUUACUGAUUUUAUUUAUAACCGGUGAAAACAUCUCAUUCAGAGUUUUUAGUAUACACAUGCCGUGAAACAAAGAAGGGCCUGACUUACUUUUACCCUAAACGUAAAGUCCAAAGUGAAGGCGUGUGUGUGUUCUUGCGUGUUUUGUAAACAGAAAUAAAAGCUUUAUAUUUAGAUUCUUUUUAAAACUUAUGCAUUCUUCGCGAUGGAUGUAACCUUUAAACAUUCGUUUACUUUAUUGAUUACCCGUCCAACCGGACCAGGAAAAAGUGUAUUUGUGAAAAAAAUCAUACUGAAUUCAAAUAUUAUGAUGGAUCAACCAUCUGAAAGCAUUGUAUGGUGUGUGAGUUGAAUUUAAGGAAGGUUUACCGGAAGUUUCCUCAUUCAGUUUUCGCACCAUCUAAAUAUCAGUGUCGUUUACAUUGUCCAAAACCUAUUUUAUAAAAACCAACGAACAAUUAGUUUAAACGCGCAUUAUAUUGUGGCUUUUAAAAAUCCUCGAUGCGCAACUCAAAUUUCUACAUGUGUAAAUUGCUGAUUACGUAUAACCGGUUCGAUCGAAAGCUAGUAGGCCACAACCAGUGCCUACAUUUCCGUGCGGAUUGUACAGAUACCAUGUGCUAACCGAUUCCAUUCUUAUUCCAAGAAACAAUACAACCCGAUAUCAUAAGCUUACGAUAACCCUCUUAGCACCCUGUAAUAUUAUAUGCCAUAUAUUACGUGCUAACAGUAAAGUCCUACACCAAAGAAUCUAUAAAAAAGAUAUUAUGCUAACAGUAUUAUUCUUUCCCCACAGGUUCAUAUAACAAAUAUUAUGUACUAACAGUAGCCAUAUUACCUCACAGAACUAUAUUAUGCUAACAGUGUUCAUCUUACUCCACAGAACUAUAUAACAUAUAUAAUGUGCUAACAGUAUCUUACAAAACAGUACUAUAUAAAAUACAUGGGCGCCGAUCCUGGGUAUGCGGCGCAUACCUCAGAAUUGUUUAUGGGUAUGCGGCAUACCCAACAUUGACGCGGCGAUAACCUUAAAUACCGGGCGGUCUCGUAAAAAAUCCACACGAGUGUGACGUGUGAGGUCUUGUAGCCAUUUACGUGCAUAAAUAAAUUUAGUAACGCGUUUUAUAUUAUUUUUAUAGCAACUUCAUCCAUGUAUGCAGGCAAACUUAUACGAGUAUUUUUCCCGCCUAAAAACGGCGUCUGUGACGUAACGCACCAUUCAAUGUUGUAACAAUUAGUGUAUAUGAUUGCGUCACUAAAUAAGGUAACCUGUACCAAAAUGCCUAAUUAAAUCGUUAAUUUAAUUAACAACCUUUCUACGAUCAACCAGUUAUACAGAAAUUGUAUGCUUCGAAAAGGCCUCGCGUUUCAGGUAAACAGCUGUCAAUGAGUGCGUUUAUAAAAGGCAGUCGAAACAGUGACAACUCGGAAAGCACAACAACAAAGCAAACCGCUCAGCCGACGCAAUCUGAAAUUCCACCAUGUAGCACCAAAGGAAGAAAUGGCGCUUGCGGUAGGUCUUAUCAGCCGACUUGGCAAGAAAACUUUCCAUGGUUAUUGUAUGACGCUGCACGCGAUGUGGCAUUUUGUUCUGUAUGUAAACGGGCAGAUGAAAACAAACGCCUUCGUGCUUCGUCGGUACGAAUUCUGUCUGUCCAAACCUCAAAAUGCUCCUGGGUGACGAAUGGAUUUUAAAACUGGAGAAAGGGCCUUGCAUCAAUCAAGAAACAUGACGCAUCUGUUGUGCAUAAGGAAAGUAUAGCCGCCAAGACGGGUGAGUUUGAGAGAGAUCUGCAUGCACGCUUUUACACCAAAAAAAUACAAAAACUAUGAAACGAAAUCGGCAAGUCCUAGAAAGUAUAUUUAACUCCGUAAUAUUUCUCGGUCAACAGGGUCUUGCAAUAAGAGGGCACACCGACGAGUCGUCCAAUCUGUCUCAGGUGGUCAAACUUUUAGGCAAACACAACGACACAAUUUGUGAUUGGAACGCUAGAAAAACCAAAUUUUUAAGUCACGACAUCCAAAACGAAAUCUUACGCGACCUAUCUAAUGCAGUGUUAAGAAAAAUUACUUGCGACGUGCAGCAUACACGAUGGUAUUCAAUAAUGGCUGAUGAAACUGCCGAUAUUGCAACUUUGUGUCCGGUAUGUUGACGACUCGUACAAUAUACAAGAAGUUUGCUUAGGAUUUGUGGAAUGUCCUAAAACCGAUGCGGAAACUUUAUUCGUCACCAUUAAAUCAAUGUUAUAAUAGCUUGUGGUUUAGAUAUAAAUGCAUGUCGAGGCCAGGCAUACGACGGUGCGGCCAACAUGAGCGGCAAGUUUUCCGGUGUGCAGGCCAGAUUUCGCACCGCUUAUCCCAAAAUGUUGUAUGUCCACUGUGUGGGACAUCAGCUAAAUCUUGUUGUGCAAGAAGUUAUAAAACGCACAAGUCACGGCGCAAAGGCAAUUACAACAUUGGAAAGCAUUGUACAGUUUAUUAAAGGAUCACACCCAAGCGACUGCAGUUCUUUAACUCAUUUUGUGCUGGAUCUGAGCAGCCAACUGGUUCAAUCCGUCCGCUAUGUCCUACACCUACACGAUGGGUGAUGCGACUUCCUGCACUCGAAGUUUUUAUAUCUAAAUUUGAAGAUAUCCUCAAUUGGUUAGAGUGUUGUGCAACCAGCUCAGAGCUACCACUUCCAGUAAGAAACCUGGCAAGGUCCCAUUUGGGGGCAAUGGAAAAGUUUACUUUUUAUUUCAUGCUACAAAGUCAUGCAGCAUUUGUUAUCUUUUAUCAACCCGAUUCACGUUAAGGUGCAGAGUCGAACCGUCACUAUGUCAGAAUUUCGGGGAAUGAUAGACACAAUAAUAAAUACUCGAGGAUUCAGCCACAAUACUCCUAAAUAAAUGCAAAGCAAGCGCUUCUAAAAUCGGCCUGGAACAACCCGAAAUACCACGAUUUUCCGCCAUGCGUAGUUCGCGUACUUGGUUGAACAAUUUAUUGCCGGGAUCGAUGACAAUUUUGUUCGCCGCCACAUCGCCUCACCCAAUUCCAGCAACACUAGCAGAUGCUGAAAGAGUAGUGGCCUUUGACACUCGCCCAGGAGUUUGGUUCAAUCGAAGUCAAGAUGAGCGCGAGCAGGGACUGCACGGAGUAUCGUCGGUCAACAACCAACGGUAGACCUGCUG